rnacentral:rRNA from 1 species
GGCUACGGCCAUGCUACCCUGAACAAGCCUGAUCCCGUCUGCUCUCGGAAGCUAACUAAGCAGAGUCGGGCCUGGUUAGUACUUGGAUGGGAGACCACCUAGAAAGACCAGGUGCUGUAGGCU